rnacentral:tRNA from 1 species
UUUAAUAUGGCAGAUUAAGUGCAAUGGAUUUAAACCCCAUAAAUAAAGUUAUAUAUCACACACUUUUAUUAAAA